rnacentral:rRNA from 1 species
UGGGGAAUAUUGCACAAUGGGCGCAAGCCUGAUGCAGCCAUGCCGCGUGUGUGAAGAAGGCCUUCGGGUUGUAAAGCACUUUCAGCGGGGAGGAAGGCGAUAAGGUUAAUAACCUUGUCGAUUGACGUUACUCGCAGAAGAAGCACCGGCUAACUCCGUGCCAGCAGCCGCGGUAAUACGGAGGGUGCAAGCGUUAAUCGGAAUUACUGGGCGUAAAGCGCACGCAGGCGGUCUGUCAAGUCGGAUGUGAAGUCCCCGGGCUUAACCUGGGAACUGCAUUCGAAACUGGCAGGCUAGAGGCUUGUAGAGGGGGGUAGAAUUCCAGGUGUAGCGGUGAAAUGCGUAGAGAUCUGGAGGAAUACCGGUGGCGAAGGCGGCCCCCUGGACAAAGACUGACGCUCAGGAGCGAAAGCGUGGGGAGCAAACAGG